rnacentral:misc_RNA from 1 species
AGUUAUCAUAUUAAUUUGUAUACCAAUGUUUAUUGAUAUAGUAGUAUUUGGUUUAAAUGUUGAAUUGAUAUUUUCCUUAUUUGUUAAUAUAAAUAUUUGUUUGUGUUUUGCACAUGGAUGCUAGAAACUGUGUUUAGUAUUCAACCGUGCUCGACUUGGAUGGCUUUAGUCAGUAAUUUUAGUAUUCCUGAAACAUGUAGUGUCCACAGGGACAUUCAGCAAAAGAAAAAAGCAUAGCUAUCUCAA